UACGUAGGGUGCAAGCGUUGUCCGGAAUUAUUGGGCGUAAAGAGCUCGUAGGCGGUUUGUCGCGUCGGCCGUGAAAACUUGGGGCUUAACCCCAAGCCUGCGGUCGAUACGGGCAGACUUGAGUUCGGCAGGGGAGACUGGAAUUCCUGGUGUAGCGGUGAAAUGCGCAGAUAUCAGGAGGAACACCGGUGGCGAAGGCGGGUCUCUGGGCCGAUACUGACGCUGGGGAGCGAAAGCGUGGGGAGCGAACAGG
rnacentral:rRNA from 1 species